GAUGAACGCUGGCGGCGUGCCUAAUACAUGCAAGUCGAGCGAACAGACGAGGAGCUUGCUCCUCUGACGUUAGCGGCGGACGGGUGAGUAACACGUGGAUAACCUACCUAUAAGACUGGGAUAACUUCGGGAAACCGGAGCUAAUACCGGAUAAUAUAUUGAACCGCAUGGUUCAAUAGUGAAAUACGGUUUUGCUGUCACUUAUAGAUGGAUCCGCGCCGCAUUAGCUAGUUGGUAAGGUAACGGCUUACCAAGGCAACGAUGCGUAGCCGACCUGAGAGGGUGAUCGGCCACACUGGAACUGAGACACGGUCCAGACUCCUACGGGAGGCAGCAGUAGGGAAUCUUACGCAAUGGGCGAAAGCCUGACGGAGCAACGCCGAGUGAGUGAUGACGGUCUUCGGAUCGUAAAAAUCUGUUAUUAGGGAAGAACAAAUGUGUAAGUAACUAUGCACGUAUUGACGGUACCUAAUCAGAAAGCAACGGCUAACUACGUG
rnacentral:rRNA from 1 species